GCCCGGGUAGCUCAGUAGGUAGAGCAGAGGACUGAAAAUCCUCGUGUCGGUGGUUCGAAUCCGCCCCUGGGCACCA
rnacentral:tRNA from 1 species